rnacentral:rRNA from 1 species
CAGUGGGGAAUAUUGCACAAUGGGCGAAAGCCUGAUGCAGCGACGCCGCGUGAGGGAUUAAGGCCUUCGGGUUGUAAACCUCUUUCAGCAGGGAAGAAGCGAAAGUGACGGUACCUGCAGAAGAAGCACCGGCUAACUACGUGCCAGCAGCCGCGGUAAUACGUAGGGUGCAAGCGUUGUCCGGAAUUAUUGGGCGUAAAGAGCUUGUAGGCGGUUUGUCGCGCCUGCUGUGAAAUUUCGGGGCUCAACCCCGAACUUGCAGUGGGUACGGGCAGACUAGAGUGUGGUAGGGGAGACUGGAAUUCCUGGUGUAGCGGUGAAAUGCGCAGAUAUCAGGAGGAACACCGAUGGCGAAGGCAGGUCUCUGGGCCACUACUGACGCUGAGAAGCGAAAGCAUGGGGAGCGAACAGGAUUAGAUACCCUGGUAGUCCAUGCCGUAAACGGUGGGAACUAGGUGUGGGCCUCAUUCCACGAGGUCCGUGCCGCAGCUAACGCAUUAAGUUCCCCGCCUGGGGAGUACGGCCGCAAGGCUAAAACUCAAAG